AAAGUCGGGCUUUUCAGUUGGUUGCACUCUGCAACCUCACCGCUAGAUGCCACUGUCCUACACACUGGUCCUUUCAGACAGCCCGAUGACAGAAACCCUCAAUGAGAAAAUACAUGUCCGGACAGGCUAACGUCACCUAGUCAAACAGAAGCUAGCUUGAUGGAUUGAUCGUUAUUUGUUUUUCAUAAAAUACACCCCCUUUAUUUUUUUGUGCAGCUGCAGCUACCCAUUACAACAAUAUUUUCAUGACUUAAAUGAUGCACCAGUUACAGGUCUAGCUAGCCUUGAUGAUGGGAACUGCUUACUAAGUAGCUGUAUCCCGCUAAAUCAACAGCUUGCCUUGCUGCGUCAACAACCACGCCUGAGAUUUUGCAGCAGAUUCUUUCGGGCCUCUUAUUGUCGGUUUGAUAGGCAGGCACCUGUGAGAUACUGACCAGCAUGUUAGCACUAUUGCCGACUCUAAUGAGGCCUGGCUGGACGAUGCCUCUCUGGCCCUGUGCUGUAGGGGCUGAGGUCCUGGGACCCAGCAGCAGAGGAGGGGGUCCUGAGCCUGAGCCUCCAGAAGAAGCCAACUGCUGCUGCUGCUGCUGGCGGAGAGCCUGGAUCUGCUGUGGAGAUACAGAGAUGGGCUAACCAGGACAAUGAGAGGGACAACAUGGAGGGACAUCAGACAAAGAGGCGGCAUGAUGAUCUGGGAGCCAUGUUUGGAUGACACCUGCUGCCCUCCUCUCACCAGUGGCGGAGGGAUAACCGUGCCUGAACUCCUGCCUGUCAAAAUCUGGUCAGAGAAAACCACCGACAGAAACAGUAUGAACUACACUAUGAGGGGGCUUUACACUGACAUGCUGCAUGAGUGCAUGUGCGAUACCUGAGCUCUAACCUGCUGAGAGCCUUUGCUGCUUGCAAUCGUUCCUCGAAUUAGAGGAGGAGGAGCAGAGGAGCCGGGCAGACCUGAGGGCUGAAAAAAAGAUAUUAAACUACAAACAGAAAGCUAUAAGUGGAGUCCUGUGUUGAAGGGAUGUGUGACUCUUGGUUUGACCCUGUGCUGCUGUGGGUAAUAACUGUUGUUUACCUUCUGG